GACGAACGCUGGCGGCGUGCUUAACACAUGCAAGUCGAACGGAAAGGCCCUGCUUUUGUGGGGUGCCCGAGUGGCGAACGGGUGCGUAACACGUGAGUUACCUGCCCUUGACUUUGGGAUAACUUCAGGAAACUGGGGCUAAUAACGGCUAGGAGCUCCUGCAGCAUGGUGGGGGUCGGAAAGUUUCGGCGGUUGGGGAUGGACUCGCGGCUUAUCAGUUUGUAGGCGGGGGAGUGGCUUACCAAGACAUUGACGGGUAAACGGCCUGAGAGGGAGAAAAGCCACAAUGGGACGGAGAGACGGCCGAGACACCUACAGGAGACAGCAGGGGGAAAUAUUGCACAAUGGACUGAGGCCUGAUACAACAAGGCAGCGUGCGGGAUGACGGCCUACGGGUUGUAAACCGCUUUCGCCUGGGACGAAGCGGGAGUGACGGUAAUAAGUAAAGAAGCACCGGCUAACUACGUG
rnacentral:rRNA from 1 species